CCCCAGGUCAGGCGGGGCUACCCGCUGAAUUUAAGCAUAUCAAUAA
rnacentral:rRNA from 1 species